AAAAUGAUGAUAAAGGCCUAACAUACAGUGCCCAAACCAAAGGGCACACGUCUCCAGACCGAAAUGGUCACCAGCCACCUGGCCUGGGGUCGAGAAACCCAGCCGGAGACAGGACGCCACGGAUCUGGGGACCUGACCACGCCGAGAGAGAGACAGGUGCCAAAAAAGGUCAGGAAGGGGCUCGGCGGUCACCACGACACCAGGAGCAGCCAGCACCUUCAUCGUGGGAAAAGGAUUUUCAAACGAGAAUUAACCACCGGAACGGGCUCCCACGGUGACGGAGGCUGAGGCCCACGUCCGUCUGCAGUCGGCCAGCUGGAGCCCCCGGAGCCGGCGGCGCAGUUCCAGCCUGAGUCCGAGUCCGAGUCUGGAGGCAGGAGACCCACGUCCCAGCUGGAAGACCGCCCGCCAGAGGGCAGACCCCCUUCCUCCGCCUUUCUGUUCUGUUGAGGCCCCGCGACCCGGCCUCCUCCUUCCAGACUUGACAUCUGAGGCUGGGUCACGAGAAGCCUUGCCCAGUGACUGUGCACUGGGGGAGCUGGCUGCC
rnacentral:lncRNA from 1 species